rnacentral:lncRNA from 1 species
AUAAAAGUGAAUGCCUGAUUUCUCAUUCUUUCCUUGUGUUUCAAGGGCUUGACGGGCCCCCCAGGAGAAUCUGGUGAGCCAGGAGGUCCUGGUCUGAGAGGAGAUCCUGGAGAACCUGGAACUGAUAGUGAUAUUCGUGGUCCUCCGGGAGACAAAGGAAAGCAAGGUCGCCAGGUAAAGUCUGGUUCUGUAUCUGUGGGGCACUGGGGCACAAGGGACUUGUGUCACCAUGAAUAGAGAAUGAGGAUAAUCUUAUGGCAGACCCAUAACUAGGGCAGGACAAUGAGGACUUGUCCCAGGGUGUGAAAAUUUAAAGGCUCCAAUAGUAUGUGAAGUCCUACAGUGGUA